rnacentral:rRNA from 1 species
AUGUGGUAUGCUCCUAUAAUACCACGGUUGAAACGUCUGUUCAGAAACGAAGAGCAUGCCAAGUUGAUGCGAUGGCACAGUGAGGACCGUAAGAAAGACGGGAAGUUGAGAGCACCCGCUGACGGGUCGCAGUGGAGAAAAAUCGAGAGAAAGUACUGGGCUGAGUUUGCAGCUGACCCAAGGAACGUAUGGUUUGGUUUAAGCGCGGAUGGCAUUAAUCCUUUCGGGGAGCAGAGCAGCAAUCACAACACCUGGCCCGUGACUCUAUGUAUGUAUAACCUUCCUCCUUGGAUGUGCAUGAAGCGGAAGUUCAUUAUGAUGCCAGUUCUCAUCCAAGGCCCUAAGCAACCCGGCAACGACAUUGAUGUGUACCUAAGGCCAUUAGUUGAAGAACUUUUACAGCUGUGGAAUGGAAACGGUGUACGUACGUGGGAUGAGCACAAACAGGAGGAAUUUAACCUGCACGCGUUGCUGUUUGUAACCAUCAACGAUUGGCCCGCUCUCAGUAACCUUUCAGGACAGACAAACAAGGGAUACCACGCAUGCACGCACUGUUUAGAUGACACUGAAAGUAUAUACUUGGACAAAUGCAGGAAGAAUGUGUACCUGGGCCAUCAUCGAUUUCUUCCGACCAACCAUCAAUGUCGAAAGAAAGGCAAGCAUUUCAAAGGCGAGGCAGAUCACCGGAAGAAGCCCGCCAUGCGUACCGGUGAUCACGUACUUGCUAUGGUCAAUGAUUUACACGUAAUCUUUGGAAAGGGUCCCGGCGGACUAGCUGUUCCGAAUGACGCUGAGGGACACGCACCCAUGUGGAAGAAGAAAUCUAUAUUUUGGGACCUACCCUAG